GAUGAACGCUGGCGGCGUGCCUAAUACAUGCAAGUCGAGCGAACAGACGAGGAGCUUGCUCCUCUGACGUUAGCGGCGGACGGGUGAGUAACACGUGGAUAACCUACCUAUAAGACUGGGAUAACUUCGGGAAACCGGAGCUAAUACCGGAUAAUAUAUUGAACCGCAUGGUUCAAUAGUGAAAGACGGUUUUGCUGUCACUUAUAGAUGGAUCCGCGUCGCAUUAGCUAGUUGGUAAGGUAACGGCUUACCAAGGCAACGAUGCGUAGCCGACCUGAGAGGGUGAUCGGCCACACUGGAACUGAGACACGGUCCAGACUCCUACGGGAGGCAGCAGUAGGGAAUCUUCCGCAAUGGGCGAAAGCCUGACGGAGCAACGCCGCGUGAGUGAUGAAGGUCUUCGGAUCGUAAAACUCUGCUAUUAGGGAAGAACAAAUGUGUAAGUAACUAUGCACGUCUUGACGGUACCUAAUCAGAAAGCCACGGCUAACUACGUG
rnacentral:rRNA from 1 species